rnacentral:misc_RNA from 1 species
AACGCACGAGACCUGCGGACCUGCGGAAGGAUCAUUACCGAGUUUACAACUCCCAAACCCCUGUGAACAUACCACUCGUUGCCUCGGCGGAUCACCGCGCCCCGUGAAACGGGCCGGCCCGCCAGAGGACCUAAACUCAAAUGUUUUAUUGUAUCUUCUGAGUAAAAACACAAAUAAAUCAAAACUUUUAACAAUGGAUCUCU